rnacentral:rRNA from 1 species
ACCCGCACAAGCGGUGGAUGAUGUGGUUUAAUUCGAUGCAACGCGAAAAACCUUUACCCACCUUUGACAUGUCCGGAAUCCUGCAGAGAUGCGGGAGUGCCCGAAAGGGAAUCGGAACACAGGUGCUGCAUGGCUGUCGUCAGCUCGUGUCGUGAGAUGUUGGGUUAAGUCCCGCAACGAGCGCAACCCUUAUCAUUAGUUGCUACGCAAGGGCACUCUAAUGAGACUGCCGGUGACAAACCGGAGGAAGUGGGGAUGACGUCAAGUCCUCAUGGCCCUUAUGGGUAGGGCUUCACACGUCAUACAAUGGUCGGUACAGAGGGUUGCCAAGCCGCGAGGUGGAGCCAAUCCCAGAAAGCCGAUCGUAGUCCGGAUUGUUCUCUGCAACUCGAGAGCAUGAAGUCGGAAUCGCUAGUAAUCGCGGAUCAGCAUGUCGCGGUGAAUACGUUCCCGGGUCUU